CUCUCGGGGUUACAGCCUUGCUGAAUUAUUCACCCUUGUCUUUUGCGUACUUCUUGUUUCCUUGGUGGGUUCGCCCACCACUAGGACAAACAUAAACCUUUUGUAAUUGCAAUCAGCGUCAGUAACAAAUUAAUAAUUACAACUUUCAACAACGGAUCUCUUGGUUCUGGCAUCGAUGAAGAACGCAGCGAAAUGCGAUAAGUAGUGUGAAUUGCAGAAUUCAGUGAAUCAUCGAAUCUUUGAACGCACAUUGCGCCCUUUGGUAUUCCAAAGGGCAUGCCUGUUCGAGCGUCAUUUGUACCCUCAAGCUUUGCUUGGUGUUGGGCGUCUUGUCUCUAGCUUUGCUGGAGACUCGCCUUAAAGUAAUUGGCAGCCGGCCUACUGGUUUCGGAGCGCAGCACAAGUCGCACUCUCUAUCAGCAAAGGUCUAGCAUCCAUUAAGCCUUUUUUUCAACUUUUGACCUCGGAUCAGGUAGGGAUACCCGCUGAACUUAAGCAUAUCAAU
rnacentral:rRNA from 1 species